rnacentral:rRNA from 1 species
GGUUCGAUCAUGGCUCAGAUUGAAUCGCUGGCGGGAUGCUUUACACAUGCAAGUCGUAGCGUCCGGCAGCACGGACUUCGGUCUGGUGGCGAGUGGCGAACGCAGAGUAAUGUAUCGGAACGUGCCCAGUAGCGGGGGAUAACUACGCGAAAGCGUAGCCAAUACUCGCAGCUACGCCCUUCGGGGGAAAAGGACCUUCGGGCCUCGCACUAUUAGAGCGGGGCUGAUAUCGGAUUAGCUAGUUGGUGGGGUAACGGCUCACCAAGUACACCGAUCCAGAAGCUGGUUUGAGAGGACGACCAGCCACACUGGGACUGCGAUGCCAGCCCAGACUCCUACGGAGGCAGCAGUGGGGAAUUUUGGACAAUGGGGAAACCCUGAUCCAGCCAUCCUGCGCGCGAUGAAGGCCUUCGGGGUUGGUAAAAAGCACUUUUGGCAGGAAAGAAACGGCACGGGAUAAUACCCCGUGCAACUGACGGUACCUGCAGAAUAAGCACCGGCUAAUCACGCACAGCAGCCGCGGUAAUACGAAAAAGUAAGCUAAGACCGGAAUUACUGGGCGUAAAGCGUGCGCAGGCGGUUCGGAAAGAAAGAUGUGAAAAUCCCAGAGCUAACUUUUGGAACUGCAUUUUUAACUACCGAGCCAGAGUGUGUCAGAGGGAGGUGGAAUUCGUGCAGGCGGAAUGCGUAGAUAUGCGGAGGAACACCGAUGGCGAAGGCAGCCUCCCUGGGAUAACACUGACGCUCAUGCACGGCGGAGCAAACAGGAUUAGAUACUCCUGGUAGUCCACGCCCUAAACGAGCGCGACCAUGUUGGGGCCUUUCGCCUUGGUAGCGCAGGUGCUGAACGCAAACGUAAAGUUGACCGCCUGGGGAGUACGGUCGCAAGAUUAAAACUCAAAGGAAUUGACGGGGACCCGCACAAGCGGUGUGGAUGAUGAUUAAUCUGAUGCAACCGCGAAAACUCACUCUACCCUUGACAUGUCUGAACCUGAAGAGAUUUGGGGAUGUGCUCGCAAGAGAACCGGAACACAGGUGCUGUAUGGCUGUCGUCAGCUCGUGUCGAGAUGUUGGGUUAAGUCCCAACGAGCGCAACCCUUGUCAUUAUUGCUACGGAAAGGGCGACUCUAAUGAGAUCACAGACAAACCGAGGCGUGGGGAUGACGUCAAGUCUCAUGGCCCUAUGGGUAGGGCUUCACACGUCAUACAAUGGUCGGGACAGAGGGUCAACCUUCCAGCGAGGGGACAAUCCCAAACCGAUCGUAGUCCGGAUCGCAGUUCGCAACUCACUGGUGCGGAAGUCGGAAUCGCUAGUAAUCGCGGAUCAGCAUGUCGCGGUGAAUACGUUCCCGGGUCUUGUACACACCGCCCGUCACACCAUGGGAGUGGGUUUUACCAGAAGUAGUAGCUCAACCAAAGGGGGAGGCGAUUACCACGGUAGGAUUCAUGAUCGGGGGUGAAGUCGUAACAAGGUA